UACGUAGGGUCCGAGCGUUGUCCGGAAUUACUGGGCGUAAAGGGCUCGUAGGUGGCCAACUAAGUCAGACGUGAAAUCCCCAGGCUCAACUUGGGAACUGCGUCUGAUACUGGAUGGCUUGAAUUCGGGAGAGGGAUGCAGAAUUCCAGGUGUAGCGGUGAAAUGCGUAGAUAUCUGGAGGAAUACCGGUGGCGAAGGCGGCAUCCUGGACCGAGAUUGACACUGAUGAGCGAAAGCUAGGGGAGCAAACGGG
rnacentral:rRNA from 1 species